ACUCCUACGGGAGGCAGCAGUGGGGAAUAUUGCACAAUGGGCGCAAGCCUGAUGCAGCCAUGCCGCGUGUAUGAAGAAGGCCUUCGGGUUGUAAAGUACUUUCAGCGGGGAGGAAGGGAGUAAAGUUAAUACCUUUACUCAUUGACGUUACCCGCAGAAGAAGCACCGGCUAACUCCGUGCCAGCAGCCGCGGUAAUAC
rnacentral:rRNA from 2 species